AGAGUUUGAUCCUGGCUCAGAUUGAACGCUGGCGGAAUGCUUUACACAUGCAAGUCGAGCGGCAGCGCGGGGCAACCUGGCGGCGAGCGGCGAACGGGUGAGUAAUGCAUCGGAACAUGUCCAUGUCGUGGGGGAUAGCCCGGCGAAAGCCGGAUUAAUACCGCAUACGCCCGAGAGGGGAAAGUGGGGGACCGCAAGGCCUCACGCGAUUGGGUUGGCCGAUGUCCGAUUAGCUAGUUGGCGGGGUAAGAGCCCACCAAGGCGAUGAUCGGUAGCUGGUCUGAGAGGAUGAUCAGCCACACUGGGACUGAGACACGGCCCAGACUCCUACGGGAGGCAGCAGUGGGGAAUUUUGGACAAUGGGGGAAACCCUGAUCCAGCCAUUCCGCGUGAGUGAAGAAGGCCUUCGGGUUGUAAAGCUCUUUUGUCCGGAACGAAACGGUGGACGUGAAUAUCGUCCAUUACUGACGUACCGAA
rnacentral:rRNA from 1 species